AGCCCCUUUAGAGAGAGGGGGGAGUCCUACACGAACUCGUAAGUCAAGUACUAGACGAGCCUUGUCUACGAAGCAGAGCGCCCUCGUCUUGCUUUUGGCGAAGCUUAACGAACUAGAUAAUAGGCAUUUUUUUAUGGUAGGAAGACUACUUUUUAGGCCGACCACAAUACAAGUCAUGAGCGAUAGCGAAGCCAAGCCGUAUAAAGGCGAGCAGCCCUUAUAGCAAUAGCAAACGGCCUACUUAUAGCCCGCCCGCCCUCGCCUAUUUUUUGGACGCUAUCAGUCCGAAGGACUUAUCCAUAUUAACCUGACUCACCGAAGGCGCAAAGAAUAUUGCGAGACGAAGGACUCGGUAAAAUCGCAAUAUUCUUUGUCAAUCAAAUUCUUUGAUCCUUGCGACUGAGUAGGCGAGUGUCCAGGUGGUCAAAGCCCUCAAUAAUAAGGGAUAGCUCUGACUUUGAAAACCACUUUUCACCUUGCUCCCCUAUCCUUCUCCUCCGGAGGGGUCUUACAAGCUCAUAAAAUGGCAAUUCUUCACCGCCUCAAUGAAUCCACAGGUCGCAAUAUUCUUUGCGCCGCUCCGUGGGCAAUGAUCUUUGCUCCGGUCAAAAUCAAUAUAUAUGAUUCAUAGUCAAGAGGUGCAAAGUUCGGUUAAUUACGGAAAGUCCUCCGGACUCCUUCGGUUAAUUACGGAUAGUCCUACUUCUGUUAAUUACGGAUGGUCCUACUUCUAAUGGAUAGUCCUACUUCUAAUGGAUAGUCCUCCGGAUAAAUCCUGCGGACGUAGGACUCCGGACGUAGGAUAAAUCCUGCGGACGUAGGACGUAGGACUACUUCCUUCCAUAUGGAUGGUCCUACGGAUAAAUCACCUGGACCUUUCUUUGGCCCUGCGGACGUAGGACUGCGGACUGCGGACUCCGGACCCUGGACCUUUCUUUGAUGGUCCGAAGGCGCAAUUCAAUAUGCGAGUACGCGGGAAUGAAUUCUAUUACUUUCUUUUCAUUGAUAGAUAUGUGUACCACACCGAAGAAGCAAGAUGCCGAUAUGCUUGAUGUACCAAUCAAGCCCAGGAAGGAGGAGCAAAGAAUAUUGCGAGGCGAAGGACCACCAUGCCGAGAUUCGCGGCAAAGAGAGCGAUCAAUGAAUAAGGAUAGGGGAGGCCCUAACCGAGAAAGGAUCCACGGCGGGGAAACCAGAGUCAGCGAGAAAGAAUGAAUAAGUCACAAUCUACCUAGGAAAGAUAACAAGGACAUCGAGAGAGCUAUCUAAUGAAACCAUUUCUCUCUUCACUCCGCUAUGCUUUGUUCACUCUCUUCGUUUAAGCGAGUCAACUUCUAUAAAUCACUACUGAUAGUAGAUUCAGUGCUACUUGUCGAACUCUCAACAUAUGUCUAUCAAAUUUCUUUGUGUUCAGUGUACCGCUAUCAAUUCUUUUCCUGUCCCGUACCGCUACGCUACAACGUAGUCAACUAGAUUUGAGAACAGCGCCUGAACUGAACUACUACUGGCUUAGCUGCCUAGCUACUAAUAACUUGGCACCCGUCCUGCCAAUAUAGUAUAAAGAGUAGUGGUAGGAUUCCACUCAGGGCACACUUGUUAGCUACAGUUCCCAUCUGUCUUGUAAAGAACUAGAACUGCGCCCGCAGUUACGGGACUAGCUCCCCUGGCCAAACUCUUGCUCCUCAGAUUCACAGACUGAAGGUGCAAAGAAUAUUGCGUUGCGUUAGCUACUUACUUCUAUUAGAGUCAGACAAGGCCUUGACUCUCUGCCUUCCUAUAUCAUACUUGGGAACUACUAGAUCUAAGUCCGAAAUAUCGACCUUGGUUCAACUCCUAGCUCGAAAGGCUGCCAACUCCUUACUGAUAUUGUUUGGGGUUAGGGUAGUUUACUUGCAGGCUGAUAAGUCAGGUAGCGAAGCCUAAGAUUAGAUGACUAGUUUGUUUCACUUCAGUUCCCCGCCGUCGUCCCCUAUCUUAAAGCAUGGAAAGGUAUCCAGAAAGCACAGUAACAGCUAUGAGAUAGGCGGCCCUCUCACCUAAUACCCGCUACUAAGGAUUGAAAGUAGCACAAUCGGCUAUAGAACUCCAGAUCUACGAAUAGCCGCGGGCAAGCACCAAAGAGAGGCUAGCUUCCACCUUUCUUAACAGCAAGGCGCGAAAGCCUGAGCCUUUCCUAUAGCUUCUACUUAGACUUAGCAACCCAAAUAAAGGUUUUGAUUCCUUAGCUGUCGAGCUACUCAAGCUAGUAAGCUAGUAUACACGCAUUUGCCCGAUUGCUUUAAGAGAAGCUUGACCUCCACCUGUCCUGUCCAAAACUAUGGAACUCAUCUUCAAAGUAGAUUUUCUAGAUCAGAACGUUCACUCUGAGAAUAGGGGUAUAAAAGUGAACCACCUAGAAUCGAUCCAUGACCGCUAAACAAAAGGAGUCCUUUACCACUAGGCAACCGUCUUUACCCGCCUCAACCGAUCGAGGCUCGGACAUGCCAACAGCCAAUACUGACUCCUUUCCCUGGGACAGCUAAAAAAAACUAAUACGGCUCGGUAAUAGGUUUCAUAGUCAUCUGGACCAUUAACACUUUUUAUUGGACUGACGAAAUUCACAGCAGAUAGACAGAAGUUAUGACAACCACAGCCACAAGCCUUCUUUCGUCAAGGCUUUUGAGGCUCCUCAGGCUUUCAAGCGAAUAGACUUGGAGGGCCGAACCUGGCCUCUUUUCCUAAGUCGAAGUGAGAAAGGUUCUAUAGAGAGAUCGCCGAAUUCACCUUCUGAAUGGAGAUGAAAAAGGAAAGGAAACAAUUCCCCUUGCGUUGAGGAUAGAUCUGCUCUUACGCUUGCUUUCGUAGACCUACUGCUAAUAGGAGAAGCGGGAUAAGUAGGACAGGGAGAUGUAGGGCACCGUCCACUGAUAGAGUUGCUUGAGCUCUUGGAGCUAGUAUGAGCAUCUUCAUCUUGCUAGCGAGCCAGUCCAGGCUGAGAAAUUUGGGCCCCCACUCCCGUCCCGGGGCGUUAAGGCUCAUCGCUAUAAGGAAGAACUUUCCAAUCAAGGUUCAAAGAAUAGCUCCGUCUUCCUUAACUCGAUAGAGAUGGCCUGCUUUAUUUGAACUUCCUACUAUAUAAGGCAUCCCCCCAGACCUAAAUGGCUAUACCUAUAUCCGACCUUCUAACCACUGAAAGUAGCGGUCCGAAGCCUGAAUUAUCUCAGAUUUUCGGUUCAUCUUUAACGCCACUUUUCUAAGCUCCGAAGGAGGAGUCCUCACCCAUUUAUUUCGGAAGAAAAGAAAGUUCAAGUGUAGGCUUUCUCCAAACCUAAAAACGGCUAAUAGAUAAGACGACUUUCGCCUAUUUUUUGGUCCUCGAUAAUUCUUUCUUUUCAAAUAUGAUUCAUAGUGAAAUAGUGGUCCUAAGCCCACGGAGCGGGAAGAAAGAAUAUCCUUAGUAGUCGCAAAGUUCAUUUCUAGGCGAAGGAGAAGGCCUAUCCAUUAGAGAAUUUGACUUGCGACGGAGGCGCAAUGAAAUAUGCGUUGACAAGACUGCCCACUCCGUUUUAGAGUCCUUCCUUCCAUAUGGAUGGUCCUACUUCGGUUAAUUACGGAUGGUCCUACGGAUAAAUCCUCCGGACUACUUCCCUCCAUAUGGAUGGUCCUACUUCCAUAUGGAUAGUCCUACGGAUAAGAAUCCUCCGGACUCCGGACUACGGAUAAAUCCUGCGGACUCCGGACCCUGGACCUUUCUUUGGCACUGCGGACUCCGGACCCUGGACCUUUCUUUGAUGGUGCAAAGAAUAUUGCGAAGGCGCAAUUCAAUAUGCGAGGUCCAUAUUCCGACUGAGGAACUUGAACUGGCAUCAAAAUAGAUCAAUGAAUGAGUAGGCCUCAUUGACUUCUUCAUUGAUUUUCUUCCCGGUCAUACCUCGGCCUCUUUACCCGGAGUUUCACUAAGGCAUAUACCCCCUCGGAGCAGUGGGGAACUUUAUAGGCGUCUUAGCAUCAAAAGCAUCUUUUUCAAGUCAAUUACAUCGACCGUCAAGCAGAGGUACUCUUAGUUCAGAGAGUCGACUUGGCAUGCUUGAAGUUCAGUUACUCGCCUCUAAAGAUCUUCCGAAGAAAGUUUGAUUGCCCACCAUUUCUGAAACCCCCUCUUCUCGGGCCAAUAGUUCUUUCUGAGAAUUAGACCAAUUUACAUGAGUUUAGAUGCCGCCUAUAAAAAAAGGUAAGAGCCUUGACUCUUUCCACAGCCAGAAAGCCCAAGCCUUUCUCAGCCGCUUAGCGCUGUGACAAAGACAGAUGUGAAAAUCGAAGACUGAGACUGGAUCCCUAAAGACCUCAAUCAAUAGCGUCCGUGAAGUGAGUGAUCUUCGGUCUAGCCCCUUCUCUGAAUGAAUAGGUUAUCGAUCCUGAACUUCAUCGGUCAAGUCGAUUUUAAUUAAGAGAGAGUCGGCAUCAUUACUUUUUCCGUGAGAAGAUCAGUCUUUAUGUUAUGAUCUAUUCUCGCCCUUAAUAAGGGAACUAACUCGUACUUGCCUUCAACGAUUACAGUUUCUUUGUCAGGUGCUCUAGUGUACCGAAGAGGUGGAGUCUUCCCAUCAUGUCUUUGAGUAUAAGAGUCCCACUCCGCGGUGAUCAUCACUACUCUUUUCAAGCAAGAAGAUAAAGGUAGAAAUCCGACCGCCUUUCAAUGACGGAAUAAAGAGAAGGCGAUACCUACUACAUGAUCAAUGCGAGAAGGCCCAGUCGGAGAGGUCGUCAUCCUAUUCCUAUCUACAUUGGUCGUAUUCGUCCAGUGAAAGAGGGAAUUCCCUAUCUUAUCUGGGAAGGGAAAAAGCAAGUCUGAUCCCAGCCAGCAAGGCAUCCUUAUCUUGGGAGGACUCUCUUAUGGAACUGAAAGUUGCAGACGGAGGCGCAAAGAAUAGAAUAUUGCGGGAACUGAAACUUGGCAUCAAAAUAGAUCAAUGAAUGAGUCUUUCUCUUUCUGGGAGUCUUCCUCUUCCUCUUUACCUUUGCCUUUUUCUUCCUCUCCUUUAGCUUCCCUUCUAGCCAAAUAGUAGGUUUUUAUGCCUGAUGAUUGAAAAGACUGAAAUUCACAUCCAUAAAUAAAUAGGGAGCUUGACUCUGUUUCCGAAGAGUCUGCGAUAGCGAAAGGACUUAAUAGGCGAGAUGAAACCCACGGAGCGGAGACUGAGUUGUAGCAGUUGAGUCUUAAUAGGUAGGAGUGCAAGGCUGAAUCUAAUUUCACUCAAAGAAAGAAGGCAGAUUCAGAGAAAAAGGAAGAAUCAGUCCUCAUUCUAUGUGCCCGUAGUGAGAAAGGGAAGAAGGAGAGGAGCGAAAGCGGCUCGACUGUAAGGAGAGGAGAGGCAUCAAAAUGCAAUUCCCGACCGAACUUUCUCGUAGCAAUCUAAGUUGGCUCCCGGAAAUCCAACCUUUCUAUAAUCUCUGACAUGUUCGUAUCUUAGUUGGCGAUAUAAGGACAAGUCCACCCCCUUAUAGGAUUAGGGCUUUGUGAAGGUGCGGGUUUUCACUAUUCCCAACGGCCUUAAACAGGCUUUAUUGCGGCCUGCUCUGGUCUAUGGAAGAAGCUCAUCGGGACUUUAGAUCUGCCAUUUUUGAGUUAGGCGGAGUAGAAAACUUGCUUUUUGAUUCUAUUAUGAGCAAUGGCCUGCUUUCUUUCUGGUCUUGUGCCAGUUGAUGUGGCAGGGACGAAGCGAAGUGGAAAAGUAAUGGGCUAAUAGAAGGGAAGGUACGGUUAGGGACGGGACAGAUGGAAGCUGAGGCAGAUAUUGCAUCCUUUGCUUUGCCUUCUUUAAGAAUUCGUAGAAGCCUGUCAUCGGUAAAUCCCUCUUCCAUAGCAUCUUCAUUCUCGACGUCUUCUUUGGUAAAGAAAGGGGAUGUUUACCCAGGCGCCGUAGUCUUGCCUAAGAAUAUCGCUCUGUUCACUCCCAGCUGAAAUUCAAGCCAUCUUCAUGAAAAUGAAAAGAGACAGAGUUCUCAAGAAGCUCUCCCUUUCAUUCCAAAGCUCCGGUCAUGGAAAAAAAAGCUGUCAGUAGCCGGUUUAUCUUAAUAAAAACCGAUAGCGUACAAGUUCAAAGAGAGAGACCUCGAAAAAAGAAGAACUAAAGUAAAGGAGGCGCAAUUCAAUAUGCGUUGACAAGGCUCCUUUUUCCUUUUCUGCUCUCAUUUCAUCAAGUUCUACUUGGGGGGUUUUAUGGAUUUUCUUCGAAUUGCUGUCUUGCAGAAGACGCUAAGGGCUUAUGACUUGCUGCUUAAGGAGCUAAGUUUCCUAAAUAUGAAAGAUGAUGAGUCUAAGCUCCAUAAAAGAGGUAGGUUUGUCUAGCCCGCACCUUGCCCCUCGGCUUUCAAGGAUUAGAUAGAGGUGAUAAUAUCUCGACCCACGUAGCGGUGUAGAAGGAGAGGCUCAAUGCAAUAUGAGUUGCGAGACAGGUCCGAAGGACUAUCCACUAGGGAAUAAAGCGAGAGGAUAGAAGUGCUUCGAUCAUUCUUUGCCGCAAUAUUCUUUGUCACGCAAACAAUAUCCCUCAAUGUGGAAGGCAAUAUUCUUUGCGCCUCUGGACUGAUUUAUGGAACUCAAUCUUUCUGGGAGUCUGAAUGGCUAAGACGAUAAGGGAAGAAAAUCAAUGACCCACGGAGCGCGGAGGACGAGUCUCGCAAUAUUCUUUGCACCUGGGUAAGAAAAGAGAUGGAGCGCUAGAAUGGAAGAACUGAUCUUCUUCCUCCUCCUACACUGGGACUGAGCCCCGAACCCUCUCUCUUCCUCUAUAUAGGGGAAGGACUAGUCUGUAAAAUGCUAUUUUUCAUCGAUCAAUAUCCGAAGUAUUAGGCUCCAUAAGACAGGGAUAUUGUAAGAAGUAUGAAUAGCUAUUACUUUUCAGACAAAGUCGGACCUACAAGAUCCAGUCAAUUAAUACGGAGUGGGCUUGCUUUGGGCCUCAGUAGCUUAAUAUUCAGAUCCCCAUAUUCAUUAGGCGAAGGACUUCUUUAUCCAUUGAAUUUAGCCGACUCCCAUAAAUAAAGACAUAAUAUCGUCAGUCUUAUUCCCUUCUUUGAACCUCUUUUCUAGAUCGAGCUAUUUCUUGCCAGUCGCUUCUCAAAGAGCAAAAUCUCAAAUUCGCAAGUCAAAUUCUCUAAUGGAUAGGCCUUUGUUUUUCUAUGCGUCCUUUGCCUUUGGUUUGCGCUCUUAUAUUCACCUUUUAUUUGCCGCCUUGAUUCUCUUCUUUCUAAUGGAUAGUCCUUCGCAAAUUCUUUGCGCCUAACUCCGGCGCAUAUUGCGUGGGAAUUUUGCGUGAGAAUUUGAGAAAGAAUGAUCGUCAGCCCUUCGUUAAUUACGGAAAGUCCUACUUCGGUUAAUUACGGAUAGUCCUACUUCCAUAUGGAUAGUCCUACGGAUAAGAAUCCUCCGGACUCCGGACCCUGGACCUUUCUUUGAUGGCGCAAAGAAUUUGCGAAAGGAGUCUUAUUCCACUAAAAAACGAUAGAGGAGGGGUCGGAUCGGGGGAAUCCGUGGGGGUUGCGGUGGCAGCUGAAAAGGAAUCAAUCGUCCCAGGAGCAGUCGCGGAGGCGGAAAUGCUCUACUCCCACGGAGCGCUAGCCCUUGGCUGAUCAGUCAUCGGAUAAAUUCCCAAAACCCACGUAGCGGUAAUUACAGAAGUCAAUUCUCAUUAUUUCUUCCGUAUAGAAAAAACCUGAGAAGUUCACCCUUUCUACCAUCCCAUCCCGACUUCCUUCUUUGUGCAUUCAUGGGUGAGGCAUUCGGCUUUUGAAUCUGGAAUCAUUUCUCAUUCGCAGUCUGAUGAAAAGAAAGAAAUGAGGACCUCUACCUCUACUCCUUUUCCUGCCAUAAAAGAUAGGGGUAGGUAGGUCAAUUCGACCCCAGCCCCGCAGCUUUCAGGUCCUUGGUGCUCGAACCAGGCGGGCAACUUACUCUUUUUCUGUGGAUACUUCCGAACAUUAUAAGGAAAACGGAGCGGUGGAAUAAAGAGGUCAAAAGGACGGGAGCGUGAAUACGGAUGAAAUGGGACGUAAGAAGUCGAGCGAGUGACGGGGAAAUGGGACAUCAAUCUUGAGAAGAACCUCUAGGUCAAGGACAGCACUGGGCCGCACCGCCUCAAUGAACAAAGGGAAGAGUGCCGAUCCCGGAGUAGGAGUCUGAAAGAAGGCUUGGCCUGAGUGAAUUCUUCAUUCUCUCUUUCUCUUCGAGGAAGAAAUCUCUUGAUUUUAUUAUCCCACCGUCUGUAGCGUAGUGGGGAAAGUUCUCAGUCUCCGUUGAUACUCUGCCAGACCUUUACCGGCCGACUACAAGGCUGAAUAUGGCAAUUAUAAGGGGUCCAGAUGGUCAAAGCCCUCAAUAAUAAGGGAUAGCUCUGACUUUGAAAACAAAGAAGGACUAUUCCUCAAAUUCUUUGAGCCUAAAGAUGAACGGAAAAUCUUCUAAUGGAUAGGACUGAGGCGCAAUGAAAUAUGCCUUGAUUGAGAGCUUGAUUUUUCUUGUGUCUUUGUUUUGGAUGAGAAAUCUCUCAAAUACUUUGAGCCUUGGAAUGAGCAUUUCAGAGCUUACCGAUCAGACCCUACUACUGAUCCGAGUUGGCUACUACUUCCUUUUCUUCAACAAGGGAUGAGAUGAGGCUUAUCUUAUUCGAACUUCAAGUAGGUACUUCUGGAUCUUCCAAGUAUGCCUAUUUCCUGAGAGUGAGCUUGCGCAAGUAAUCCCCCUUUUUCUUACUCUCAGAACCCCAAAUCUUUUCGUACUUCCCCCUGAGGUCCCAGCUCCAACUCUUCUUCUCGCUUUAGGAAUUCAAAUUCUUCUUGAAUGAUCUCUUUCGUAAAGCUAUUUUUCUAUGGUAAAUUCACUCUUUAGCCGAUGACGCGGGAGAACACGGGUUCACUGGGGUGGAUAGAAUACGACCCGAGCGUCGGACCGAGACAGGAGGACCCAUUACCAGUUGAGGAAUUCAGUCGAGAUCGAGACCGUGCGGAGCCUUCCACUGGGACGUUCUCCUUUGUUUACGUGAAAACCUUUCCAGAUGAGCAUACGACCCAACUUCCCCGUAUGAGGAGGACUUGGUCCGUCCCUUUCUUCUUAGUAGUACUUUGACUUCUUCCCCGCGUAGAGGAGGAGCGAGCUCCCUCCCUUUCCUGGGAUUUAGAUGAAAGCAUCCCAAUGAGAGAAUAGAUUAUUCAACCCUACAGCGUCUGGGACAAGAAGGCGAACUACUUCUUUCUCUCUCUCUCUCCUUUCCUGAAGAUGAAAUAAGAUUCUGAUAAUAUAAGUCGAAAGGGAAAGAGAUCAUUCAAGAUCGAAUGAAAGAAGAUAAGUGAAUAAAGCUCUUUCUCUUGUUCCGCUCCUUACUUCUUCUUCUUUUUCAUACUCUUUUCAAUCAUAAGGCUGCCUCUUUCUCCUGAACUCCGUCUCCUAGGCUUUCUCUUUCUUUCUCUAUUUCGAAGAAUCUUUUCAAUCAUCAAAAUCAAAAGGCUGAACAUUGAGGUCUUCGCCCUUUAGGCAGUUCGCCCAGCACAGCAGUCGCAGCUCUUUCUCUUUCAAGAAGUUUGAGACUGAGAUUCUGAACGAGUAGGAUGAAAUAGCAGGCACAAAGGCCCCACCAAGAAGAAAGUCCUCCCCUUCUUAUGGUGGCUCUAGCAAAUAGUCAGCGAAGAAGCUUCCAAAUAGUAAGCUGUCGAGUAAGAGGGAGUCGAAAAGAAGCGCGAACUCCAGUGAUUAGGGUAGAGUCUCAUCCCCCCAUAAUCAAGUAGCGUCCACUAAAAAGGAGCGGAGCGCGGAAGGACGAGGCGCAAUGAAAUAUGCGAGGAUGAGGCAUCAUCGUAUAAGAGGGAGCAAAGGAUCUCCGUGAAGCUGCUCGAGGAGAGGAAUGAAAUGGCGAGACUGAAAGGAGAGGCAUCCCUUUCUCUUGCACCAGUGGUUGUCCCAGUUCUUCUUUAAGCUGUAGCCGGCUGUGGUUCUUCCGGUUGAGGAAGUAGCUCUCGCUCUUCCAGUCUCGGAUAUUAUUCUAUUUUCAUAUUGUAUAUUCAAAAAUAUUCCCAAUUAGAGUAGAUUGGGUGCAGCGAUCCCGGGAAUGAGUCGGACUAGCCUACAUAAAGCGCUUUUCUCACUAUAUAUGUCUCGACUCUUUUGUAUCGCUUAUUCAGGAGACUGAGUCAGAAAGGGAAGAAGCAGAGAAAGAUCAAGCUUUCCCGAUAGGGGAGAGUAGUUAUGAUCCGGGGUCUUUCCUUAAAAAGGUAUUCUAGAAUAAGAGUUUGUUAGCAUCUCUCCAUUCUCAUUGUCUGAGUAUGAUAAGUUUCUCUUUCAUGAGAAGGAGACUGAGAAGGCUUCGGGUCUGUCUUUCGCCUCUUUAGAUAUUAUGUCAACUUCUCUUCUGCUUUUCGCACCGAUAAGUCAAGUCCUCUCUCUCCCCUCUUACUCAACUUCGUAAACCUAGUCUCUAUGCACUUGCACUCCUUCGCAAUAUUCUUUGCGCCUCAUCAUCAAAAGAGAAAGUGCUCUCGCAAUAUUCUUUGCGCCUCCAGGACGUCCUCUGGACUAUCAACCUAUUACUUUGAACUUUUAUCCCUCUCAUAACAUAAAUAGUGGGACUUAUCCAGCCUGAGGAGGGCAGAAUCAAGGCUCCAUAAGACAGGGAUAUUGUAUGAGUUCUAUACAAAAAAUAGGCGAAGAAGAAUUGCGAGGUCCGUAAAUCAUCUGAGAAUCCCGGUAAUUUUGGGGGAGGUGAAAAGAAGAAAAGAGUCCAAUAAGAGACCGCGGCUUGGGAACUCAUUCCCGAAGAUAAGCAAGAACUUCUCCUCCUCCUCCAAGACUGAAAUUCCAAGAGCCACUUCUCCCUCUUCUGAUGACGCAUACCACCGGUGUCUCGAUUUCUUUGAUGAGUGGAAGGACGACAGGUUAAGCUUGAUAAAGAAGUCAUCUGGACCGCUCCAACUAACCUCUGCGGUCAGUCCUUCGGACCAGCUGACUAUCCCUAAAAUAGUAAGGAGUCUUAUGGCGCUCGUCUUGAGCCUGAAUUAUCGAAAAGACUUCUGCAGAGAGCCAAGAAUUUGCGAGCAGCAUAAGGAAUAAGGAGUCGAUCAAAUUAAGGCUUCGGACCGCGGAAGGACGAGUCUGAUUCCAAAAAAGACUUCUGCAGACGUUAGGAUCAAUGAAAUUUGAGAGAGGCGCAAAGAAUAUUGCUCAGGCUCGCCUAAAUUUGAAGUGGAAGGCAAUAUAAUUCAGGCUGAGGAUCAAAGAACAAGAGCGGGAAGAACUGGAUAUUGUAGGAGUUGACGGCUCGACUGUAAGGCUAAAUGUGGGGCGCAGUUGCGCAAUAUUGCGAGAAGUCUUUAUAUAUUGAUUAGCCUACUUUUCUGGAUUGGGACAUGAAUAAAUUAGAAUCCAAGGAUUGAUCGAACCUCGACGCAAAUUCUUUGCGCUAGUGCGAAUGAAAAAAAAUUCAGGCUAUAGGCGAGAUAGAAAAAUGACCCAGGGCGCGCCUUCUUCAAUGAAACUGGGUGGGGACCCGCGUGAGCCUAAUGCUCUUUAUUGGGCCGAUUCCCCGCUUGGAUCAGACAAGGGCGGGGGUAGAAGUUUGACCUUUGGAUCCGCAGUCAAGGAUCCCUCUUUCUAAAAGUAUGUCAAGAGCAUACUUGAGCUGAGAAAGAGAGAGACCAUGCGAUGAUUGAUCUACUGAAAUGCCAAGCCUUAUCUCAGUCUCCAGAACUCCACAGGAAAAUAGCAAGACGGGGGUUAGAAUUACCCAGUUCAUAUCCACUCCUUGCUAAGAGUUUAGUCUUCUUUCUCCCCGCAAGCCCGUUGAAUCAUGACUUCCUUAAUGCCUUUAUACCCUCGUAUGAGAAAAAAAACCUAGCCUGAAAGUGAGAGAUGGAAUUCAUUCUAUAUAUUCUUUGCACCUUCGCAAUAUUCUUUGCGCCUUUCUUUUAUCCAGCGGAGCCUUUCAACAAGCACUUGAUCCCGUAUUUAUCCUACGCGUAGCGGUGAAAGCUCAAAUUGCAUUGAGCCUGUGAAAAGUCAAGAAAAAAAGAAAAGAAUAAUUAACUCAUUAACGAUAAUGAAAGAAGCUCAAAACAAAAUGAAUCUGCUAGAUUUCAGAUUAAUCUGCUAGAUUUCAGACUAGUCCUUCGCGGAGGGAAAUACAAGAAAAUGCUAGGUUUUGGGCCUAUAAAGUAGCAAGAAAUCAUGAAAAAUCCGUCAAAAUUAGACAAUUAUCGUUAGAUAUAUAUAUGAGAAAAAGUCCUAUUUAGAAGCAAAAAAGCCGGGAAAACGCAAUGAAAGAAGAACUCCUAGGACAGGUAAAAUCAAUGAACAGAGUUUGAUUAUGGUUUCUGGUCCGGAGAAAUACGGGUCUAUUCUGGAUUUCCCUCCAGGUUAUGGGUGAUUCAAUCAUAAUGAUUCUUUCAUUCGAGUUAAUGAGCUUCUUUCUUUGCGCCUGCGCCUGGACCAAAGGUUAAUAUGGAUGGAUAGUCCUACUUCCUUCCAUAUGGAUGGUCCUACUUCGGUUAAUUACGGAUGGUCCUACGGAUAAAUCACCUGGACCUUUCUUUGGCCCUGCGGACUGCGGACGUAGGACUACUUCGGUUAAUUACGGAUGGUCCUACGGAUAAAUCACCUGGACCUUUCUUUGGCCCUGCGGACUGCGGACCCUGGACCUUUCUUUGGCACUCCGGACUGGAUCUUGUAGGUCAUUCUGACCCGAAAAGAAAAGUAGUGCUUUGAAAGGUAGGGAAGGUUACCCCACGUAGCGGUAAGGGCGCAGCAAAGGUUCUUUCCGGAGAUGGCCCUUUAUUCUGGCCCACGGAGCGGUUGUGCAUGAAGCAAGAGAUCUUGGAAGUAGCUUUCUUGCAAAGCGAUUAUGAGAAAUUCAUAAUGAGGUCUUGACUUUCAAGAGUCUUAAAGGUAACUUCAUAAAGAGUGCUCUUUCAGUUGACUCUUUCUGUCUAUAAAGCUCUUCUUCUUAUUAGUUUCGCGGGAGAGAGAGGAUGAGGGGUGCCCGAGGAAGAAAUGCUAUCCCAAAGGGCAGAGUACGUUGAUGUCCCCGUUCUUGUUUAAGAGGUGGCCUCAUCCGUUGAUCAGUAGGGCAUUUCUUUCCUUAGAUCUCUUUCGUAAGACCUCAUGAAAGGAUUAUUUAUUCAUUGUCGUCUGAUCGAAAGAUGUCAAUGUGCUUGCCCAUUUUAUGAAGAAAUACACCAGCCUCAGAUCUCGCCCAUGGAUUGAUGAAAGCCAAAAGGCCCUUUAUUGUAUUGUACAUCUUUCACGCAAGGAGACGUAAGAAGUCGACCGCCUACUCAUUUGGAAGAAGAAGAAAGACAAAAGAAGAAUGAGUCCUCCGGAAGGAAGGCUCGACCGUCGGAGGGAAGAGGGCUGCCAGAGAUGAGUAUGAGUCAUCCCUUGCUUUAGUUGAAAGAGCUAAAGUAGCAGUCCUUUCUUAUACCUUUCAUCUCGUGAAUGCACUCAAUUAAGGAUGAAAAAAUCUCGUCAAUUCUCAUUCCAUGAAGGACGACAAGAAAGUAGACUCGCCACGGGGCGCCGAAUCAGGCAAAUAGCCCUUAUCUCUCUUUAUGUCCCACUCGAGAAGACCUUUUCUUGCAGGUCCAAAUUAUGACAUUCUACCUCGAAAAGUGGUUAGGGCUUAGAAAGUAUCAAACUAGAAAAGGAUGCCCCAUGGACGCGAUUUCUUCCAUUCAGCCUAUGGUCUUUUCUCACUAAAAUGUCCAUUGGGUCUUCGCCAAAAACCUGCAUUGAAAAAGGAUGCAAACCAAGGUCAAUAUUCUUUGAACCUUUGAACCCAUGAAUUCACAUGAAAAGGAGUCCCAGAAAAGUGAAGGAAAAGAAAGAGGUUAAUAUGGUAGAUUGAAGACGGGUCAGAAUCAGGAGAUCUCGGACUUAAGGAAGACGGAGCGGUAGGCCUACUUUGAGGGAUCGACCCAGGAGAGGCAUAGGAGUUCAGCGGAUUGCCCAGAGUCUGAGGAGAGACCAGGUGCAGUCUAAUGGAUAGGACUGAGGCGCAUCAAAAAAAAGGUUGAAGAUGACCUUGAUUUUUCAUUGAGGCCGUUCUUCUCCUUGCAGUAGCUUUGAUUCUUUCAAGAGUUGAGGAUCAAAGAAGAUUGAUAAGUAUAUAGGGAUAAGCUAAGCAUUGAGCUAGAGAUCGUAAGACCCAGGCGAAUAGCGAGGCAGAAGGGAUUGUGAUGUCUGAGCUUCUUUCUUACCAUAAAUUAAGAACCUUGAAUGAGGCCGACGGAAAGAGAUCGUCCGAGAGGUUCAAAGAAUAUUGACUUGUUCAUUGAGGCGAUAACCACAAGAGCAAACUCUUGAUAUGAGUUUGAAGAGAUGAAUAUAAGGAAGGAAGCUAGACAAGAGCAUCUAAAUAGGUUUUCUUGAAAUAGGAUCUAAAGGUGCGAAUAGACCAAUAAGGAUCGAGGGGUUGUCCGGCGGAGACAGAAGUCUCCUUCUUCACUCUCGGUCUAUGAAAUGAAAUUGGUUAUACCGCUCUGCUUCUUUGCUUCCUCAUCAAGAUAUGAAUAAUAAGAGGAGUCUUCUUCUGAGAAGUCCGAUCCACUGAGACCCCUUAAGUACUGCUUCCCUUCAAGAAAGAACUCGUUGAGACGAGGUCCAUUCGACGGAGAACAAAGUCCCUCCCUUUUGGCAUACUUGAUGGACCCAGCGGCAUAUCGGGGAAUGGCUCACAAGCAAUGAAUGAGUGGGGGGCGUAGGAUACUCGUUGGGGACUCCCAACAGCACUAUUAGCUGUCUAGCGGAGAAUCUGUUGAGCUUUUGGAAGGAGCGGAGCAUAAGAAGGGGAGGACUUUGAUUCCAUAGUUUUCUUAGAGGCGUAGGAGGACGCUUAUUCCUUUUCUAGAACCUUCUAGAACCUACUAUUUGGAGGCGAAGGACUUCGCACAAUAUUCUUUGCUCCUAAGUCUGCUUUGAAAAGGAAAAAAAGAGUAUUCAUCCUUUCUCUACUUCUACUUUGAGCCUGAAUUUCCCCGUCCUCAGUCGCAGGUUAAUAUGGAUAGUCCUUCGGACGGAAUCAAAAAUCGCAAUAUUCUUUGCACCUUUGUUUUUUCCUUCCGCGGUUCAAGACGCCUCAUUAAUAUGGAUAAAAACAAGUCCUCCUACUCGUUCAAGUUCCACGCAAUAUUCUUUGCUCCUUGCUAAAAGAAAGAAUCUCAUCUUCUCAUAUUUCAUUGACCGUUAGGCUCUCGCAAUAUUCUUUGCGCCUCAAUCGCAUCGCAAAUUCUUUGCGCCUCCGCUCAAAUUCCCUAAUGGAUAGUCAUCUGGACCCCUUAUAAUUGGGGGCCAUAGAUCUUUGCGCCUCUCAUCAAAUCCCCUAAUGGAUAGUCCUUCGGACCUGUCUUAUGGGGCCUCCGUAGCUUAAUAUGAUUUGCGAAAAUUUGAUGCGUCUUUUCCGCUUCGAAUAUGAAUUCAUCCUGAGAGCAGAACAAUUGACAAGGUUUGCUGCGGAGUUAGAGUUCUUCUUUUCUCAUGCAAGCUUGUAAAUGAUAGGUCUAAUUACUAUCCGCAUCUCUACCCGUAUUACCGGAAUCUAAAUCAAAUGGGUCUUGUCCUACGGUCGGUCUGUGUUGGAUUGAGCUCAAGUUCACUUCUUUUACCUUUCGUUUUCUACCUGAAAAUGCUCUACUUAGAAAAAAAGAGAAAUUCUGAUGUUCAAUUUGGAGGUUCUUCAAUCUAUGAAAAGAGAUGCUAAGAAAGAAUUCAAGAAAGUCCAUUACUGGUGAUCUCGUCUUGCUUGCUGGGAGAGAGGACGGACCACCUUUUGAAGGCAGAUAGCGAGCGAUCACUCAGCAAUUCAGACUAAAAGCGGCCGAGAAUUAGUACCUAUCCCUUACGGGAAUCGAACCCGUGUCUUCGACAUGAAAAGACGAUGUCCUAACCACUGGACGAAAGGGACCAAAAAGCCAUUCUUCAUAUACCUAGUAGUGGGAUCCGAGAAUAGAAGUCCUUCCUUUGAUUGAUAUACGCAAUUCGACGAUUUCCUUUGUCUGAAUCUUGGCGAUUUCUGAUUCAGCGGGUCCUCCCCCCUUCCCCCACCGAUGAGACAGCAACCACGCCCCCUUCGUAAACUCACUCGACUCAAUUACGAAAGAAAUAAGAAGAUAUUAAUAGAUAUAAGAAGAUAAGAAAGCUCUGAUGAUGCGUCUUUCUGUACUCUUCGGGAAGCCCAUAAAUUAUGAAUCUUUGCGAAUGAAAGACUAUUACAAUCAAUGAUUGAGGGAGCGGAAAGAAAGGCUCCACUAAAGAAGGGCAGAGGAAGACUGAGAGUUAGUAUGAUGAAAGAGGUUAUCAGCUGCUAUCCGGUUAGGAGGGAAGGAAUUGAAGACGAAUCGAGGAUUUGAGACAGAGGUUAGAACGACCUACAGGAAAGGAUCGGGUAUUUCAUUCAUAGAGCUUUUAGGGGUCAAGACGAUCUAUCAUUCCCCAACUCCUAUCCUUAUAUGAGAGUCACUCAAAUUCUGAUCGCCAUUCUCUUCUUUGUUCUCUCUUUCCUUGAUUGAGUCUUCCACGCAAUCUAUCUAUCCUGUAUCGGGAAGGUUGGAAUAUGCUCUCCUCUUCUUCCUACAUUUCCUGAAUAACUUCAAGGCGUCACCGAUCGGGGACUUCGACUGCCUUGUAUCAGGUUCAGAGAAGGGGUGGUAGGCUUAGUAGGGCUCGAACCUAGAAUAUCACCCUUAUGAGCGGUACCUUGAAAGCAAUGAAACUAUAAGCCCGAUCUCUACAUGCAAUUCGCUCACUUCGGGAAGAGGAAAGAGGAGAGGUGCAAAGAAUAUUGCGAGGCGCCAUAAGACAGGUCCGAAGGACAGACAGGCGCAUUGAAUAGAUUAUGCUGAAGGCUAGGCGCAAAGUUCGGUUAAUUACGGAAAGUCCUCCGGACUACUUCGGUUAAUUACGGAUGGUCCUACUUCUGUUAAUUACGGAUGGUCCUACGGAUAAAUCCUCCGGACUACUUCCCUCCAUAUGGAUGGUCCUACGGAUAAAUCCUCCGGACUACGGAUAAAUCCUGCGGACUCCGGACCCUGGACCUUUCUUUGAUGGAGGUGAAAAGAAUAUUGACAAAGAAUAUUGCGAGGUUCAUACUAUUACUUUAAAUAGUGGGACUGAUUUUGAUCCAUAUUCCUGAGGGAGCGGUACUACUUUCUUUUUUUGUGCCCGGUCCAACUAGGAGGGAUGGAACUCAUGCCUCCCGCGGUCGAGCUAGCUUGUUCUCGCUGCUCUCUUUUCUUUAUAGAAAAGCAUAAAAGCUUCAUCUUUGAUUUGUGUGAGGUAAAAGGGGUUCUUCUUGAACGAGAUUUGUUCGUAAAUCUCUACUAUAGAGAAAGGAAAAAAGGAGUAAGUCCGCUGAUUUUACGUGAUUUCUUCCAUCUUGCCUAUGGCGGAAAAGAGCUUAUUAAGGGCGAAAGCAAAGAACCGUGCUCUAGGCGCAGGAUCUGGGAUGUCACAAAGCGACUGUAAACAACCGCCGCUACACAAGGGGAGGAGUCUUUGCAGCUUAGUUGGGUUAAGUUAAGUCGCCAAAUUCUCAAUUCUUCAUUUCCCUUGUAACAAAAAGUAGCCGCCAUUGCAGGAGCCGUUUCAGGAGUCGCUGCAGGCGCUCUUCGUCUUCUAGUUUCAGCUUUUGUUGAAGUAGCCCUUGUUCGAUCGAUCGAAAAGGCUAGAUCUCUGUCCCAUAUUUCCAAGGCUAAAAGAAAAGGCUGAUUCAAGGUCGUAGCAGUGAGAAAAAAAGACUUUUGACUCGUCCGAAGGACUUGUUUAUCCAAUUAUAAGGAAGACGGAGCGGUUCCAUCCAUAACAAGGUGAACCAACAAAGGAGUCCGUCGCUGAGGAGGUCGGAAAGUGAAGGGCACCACGGUCUGGUCCCAGACCGAUUCAGUGGAAGUUGCUUUGUUGAAAAGCGAUUAUGAAUAUUCUUGUAUAUAAAGACGUAAGAGAAAGAAAGGUGCGAAGCAAAAAGAAAGUGAAGGAAGACGUAGCGGUAGACUAAGAAAGUAGUACAAUACAAGAAGGGACAAAGGCCCCAUAAGAAGAAAGAGGGAUGGGAUCGCGCACGCCCACUACGCGGGGGAAUAGGUUUCAUAGUCCUCCGGAAUUAUUAAGGAGAAGGACGCUCGCAAUAUGGGCCUCCUACGCUUAAUAUGGCAAAGAAUAUUGCGUUUUGGAUAGCUCUGAUUUUGGUUUUCGUCCUUCGUCCUCUCAAAUUCUUUCUCAAUAUUCUUUCUCAAUAUUCUUUGCACCUCUCCUCCAUCUCAGUCGAGCCGCUAAUUUGUAAUUCAACUCCGUUAGGUCCUCCGGACUAUCCAUAUUAACCCAGAUUUCAGACUCCGCACUCAACGCAUAUUUCAUUGCGCAUCUGGACCCCUUAUAAUUGGGCCAUAGAUCUUUGCUCCUCGCAAUAUUCUUUUUUUCUGUCUUGUAAAUCAUCAAAAUCUUAUAAGAAGAGAGACCAAAAAAAAGGGAAGGAAGAUGAAGGAUCCGCGGAACUGAAUGAAGAAGAAUUAGUACGGGUCUGGAGCUGCCAAGCUAUUAUUUGAAAAAUAUAGAGUAGAUUAUGAGUACCCUCAUGGCUUGAAAACAAGCUUCGGUUGGGAGUCUGACUUGGAAUUAGAAGUUUCCCGAAGCGAGAGAGAGAGAGUUUACUUCGGAAUUCUCAGAAGAAUGAGUAAGAGAAAGAGGAAUUCCACCCUAGCCUCAAGCCUGAAUUUAUGUGGGAUCAGAUUCUGAUAAUAAAGAAGAAAGCUCAGAGGAUCGUCUAAUGAGUCAGAUCGGCUAUCUAUGAUAUAGGAGGAGGGUAGCUUGGAGACAAAGACCAUAAUAAACUGAGUUGGAGUUGACUCGCGGUGUGAAUAGACUGUAUCAGCAGAAGUCUCGGAAGAGGAAUGAGUUGGAGAAGAAAGAAUGAACUCCAUAAUCUCGUAUUAUAAUAAGAAGAAAGAAUCUCUUAUCAUAUUAGCUUUCUCUCUUUCAUUCAUAGUCAGCUCUCCCGGAUUCAGUCUCAUAACUCUGAUUAUUAGUGGGGGAGUCGGCCUUGGGGAGGUUCAAAGAAUAUUGACGGAGCGGUCUCGUAGACAAGGUAUGAAUGAGAACGAGAAGGAGAAUCAAGUCUCACGGAAAGCUUAUCGACAAAUCUGCCUAUUUUUGGGGUGCACGAGGCUCAAAGAAUUUGAGAGAACUCGAAGCCUGCUCGUAGAAUACGGCUAGGCACAGACUCUCCAAAGAAGGCUACUAGGAUCAGACUUGCUUGGGACCGGACCAGAGUGACCGGACGACCAGAAAUUCUUUUCUUUCAUCUUCGUAUAAGGUAAUUAUCUCUUUCUACAUCAGAAGUAGGGGACCAGGGAAUUCCCAGUCGACCGAGUUCUCUCUAAUGGAUAGGGUCGACGAGAGAAAUAAGGUGAUGAAUCAGUCGAGUCAAAUCAGAGACGAUCGCAGUCUUCUUAUCUACUUAGUUUCGGAAUGCAGUAGGAAGACGGGAAGAGGUUUGAGUAUUGAAUAGUUUCCGGGAGAGAGAAGAAGCAAUCUCACACUCAGUUUCAGAAGAGUCAGUGGCAGCCGCUGUGGCAGUUGCUAACCCAAGUGGAUAGUCUUGUGCCGCUAUUAUAGAAGAAGACUGAGAAUGAUCUCUUUCCCGAAGAGGGAACUAUCACAAAGCAAAUAUCUCAAUUCUAAGCAUUCUCAAUUAGUAGGUCGAAGCAAGACCGAGUUGGAGACAGCGUAGCGAGACCAAAUAGAGGGAGGCCUUAGCCUCUCUAUAGGCGUUCCGAUCCUUUUCCCGGCUGCGUCCUACAUAGUCAAGAGCACUUGUAAGAAUUCCCUAUAUCCGAUACUGGAUAGACCCUGUCUUCCUUCUAAGGAUCGAACUGGAACUCUUCACUCUGAAAGAAGAUCGACUGAUUCCGAUCUGGAUCUUCCCUCGUCAACUGAGAAUACCGCUUCCCGAUUUUCUGAUAAGAGAAUUCCGAAAUCAGUCCCAAGAUAAGGAUGCCUUGGUUAGCAUAUGAAAUGUGCACAGCUCUUGAUUCGUAAGAAAGCUACUUGCCAUUUAGAAUACAGAGUGAUGAGACUAAGAAUAUCCCUGUCUUAUGGGGCCUUCGUAGCUUAAUAAUGGGGGUCCGGGAUAGACUCUUCCUCUAGCUUCGGAAAGACUAUCUCAUACGAAGAGAAAGAAGACAGAUGAAACUUAAUCAACUGCGGGGAUAAGUUGAAUUAUUCAUACCGAGAGGAUAGACUUAGAUACCCGCGGGAAAAGAAAGAACUCUUCAAUUUAGCGCUCCACCCAUUUUAUUCUUUAGAAAUCCUAUUACAAAGAUUACUAUCGCCCAAGGCUUCUUCUGACUCUGGAUGAGGUCCCUGCCUCCCCUACUGAUGAGAAUAGUACUUCUUCCUCAACUUCAAGACCCGAGACCUUACGGCACGAGCUCUGGAAGGAGGAGAAUGCUCCUUCUUGUAGAAAUAGGUUUUUCUGCUUUAUAUCCCGCCUAUCCCCCCGGGUUAGCCCCUUGUUUGUCGAGGUCAAUAUUCUUUUCACCUCUUUCUCUGGGUCUGACCUUUCGUCCCUAGGGAUCCUGAAUGAAAGUCUUCCCAUUCUUCUUAUUCAUUCCCUUGCUUCCGAGUGAUAUUCUCUAAUAGAAAGAAGACGGAGAUCCCGGAAGAGAUAUUCUCUACCCUAUCCAGUCUCUCCUAUUCUCCUGAUGACAUCGACUUCCCUUGCAGCCUCAACUGAGCACUUGCUUCAUUCAACGGAUUUAUGAAAGAUUCGUACUGCCUAUGAAACCGAGACUAAGCGAUCCCGAAACAAAGUAGCAAGACGGAGAUCCCGAAAGAGAGAAUGAAAGUAAGUAGUUGACCUAUUCACACAUCUAUUCCUAGAAAAGUCGUAUUCAGACCGAAGACUGAAAAGAUAUGAUAACCUCGUCUUCUCUGUCGAGCUGACCUAUCCAACUAAUAAUCAGAUAUGCCGAGACCCUACUUUAGUUUUUAUAAGCUUCGGAUCUUCCCUUUAACGGUCUUCCCUUUCUCCCCGAGUGGGGUUCCCUAUUUCGGCGGCAACUGAGACUGAUGACUUUAGGGCUCCUUCUACCCUCUCUGCGUACUCAAUCCUAUCUUUGAGGCUUCCAAUCAGCCCUUAUUGAGGCGGUAUCGCUGACUCCCUAGCUUCGGGGACUUAGACGGAUGACUCUUUCUUUUCCAGCAGUCUAGCCUUUUUGUUCUCGAUGCUACCGCGGAGUGGGACUGAAAGCCUAUUCAUACCUUCCCCUCUCAUCUGGUCGAGACUGAUUAGUCUAAGUCUCCGAAGUAUUGGUCUCGAAGUAGAUAAGUUCGGGGGAUCCGGAACGAGUUUGGAAGUAAUAAAGAAGUAGUUCGUUCGCGCCUUGCCCAGUGGGUCAACUUCUAACCUUCCCCGCGGAGUGGGCGCGGAUCAUAUGUUCGUUCCCUAGCCUUCUUCGCAAAUUCUUUGCGCCUCAAGAUCUUUGCUUUUUGGUCCUCUUGACAUAUGAACUUCUUCUUUUCCAUCGCUUGAUUGAUACUCUGCCAGACGUGGACCGGCUUCGCGUGCGCCUGUAUAUCUUGAAGGGCCACUGACGGCCUCGCACUUUGGGCGCAGGGUUUGAGAAAGGAAAAGAAAGAAAUAAAGAAAGAGAAAGCUGAAACUAUCAGAAUCUAUAUGAUUCAGUAUGAAUUAGGCGAAGGACUUUAUCAAGCUUAAUCAUAUUUCAUAAAUAAGGGGCGAAGUGUAGUAAAUCAAAGAAAAUGAGCUCAUUAACGAGAAUUGAAAAGUCAAGAAUCAUUAUUCUUUCAUAACCUUGUUCAUUGGGAAUCAAGAAUAGACCUCUCUUUCUCCGUCCGUAGGACUAUCCAUUAGAAAAGUUUUCACAAACUAUGUGAAUUUCUUAUCCCUUUAUGAUUCUUUCAUUGCUAUUUCCCGGCUUUUUUGCUUCUAAAUAGGACUUUUUCUCAUAUUGAUAUUCUACGAUAAAAGUACUUUAUUGACUGAUUUUUCAUGAUUUCUUGCUACUUCCCUAUGGGCAAAACCUAGCAUUUUCUUGUAUUUCCCUCCGCGAAGGACUAGUCUUCAAUCUCCCAUAUUCACCUCUUUCUUUUUCAUUCCCAUUUUUUUCUUCUUUCAUUAUCGUUAAUGAGCUGUCCUACGUGCCAAAGAAAGGUCCAGGGUCCUACGUCCGCAGGGCCAAAGAAAGGUCCAGGUGAUUUAUCCGUAGGACCAUCCAUAUGGAGGGAAGUAGUCCGGAGGAUUUAUCCGUAGGACCAUCCGUAAUUAACAGAAGUAGGACCAUCCAUAUGGAAGGAAGGACUCUAAAACGGAGGCGCAAAGAAUUUGCGAUGCGACUUUGAGCCAAAAGAAAGAAUGUCAUCUUGAGCCUUGCAAUUCUUCCAAAUAGUAAUCCCUUCUUCCAUUGUGAAUCUGAGGGUAGCACUUUCAUGAGAGGGGGAAGAAGUCAGAAAAGCAUCAGCCCACUACGCGGUAGCAAGAGAAGGAGCUAACCCCUUUUUUCCGUCAUAAGUAUUCAAGAAAGGAAGCCGCAAAUCCUUUACUGGAAAGAAAAGUACGAGGCAGCUAGGGAAGCCUCUCUUUCUAUAGGCAGGCGCUGCGGUAUGAUUUAUAUCAUGAUGAUAUGCUUUGAGUAGGACUAGCGCAUCUUAAUCUUCGAGGUUAGCCCUAGCCUCAAGCAAGCUAUAACUAUUCAUUAGUAGGAGCGGACUCAAGUCAAUAUUAAAAGACCCUUGCUUUAGUUUCUGCUUGAGUUUCAGAAGUUCUUUCUUGUAUAGAUAGAAAGGCUUAAUUAAGCUAGAAUAAAUACGACUUAAACCUACUAUUUAGAUUCAAGCCUAUGGACUUCUGAUCAUUCCACUAAAUCUUUCUGACCCGAGCAAAGAAUAUUUCAAAAUCAAGCUCAUCCUCAACCUUGUUUUUGAUGAGCUUGAUUUUUCAUGGAUCUUUG
rnacentral:lncRNA from 1 species